rnacentral:rRNA from 1 species
AGUGGCGGACGGGUGAGUAACGCGUAAGAAUCUAACUUCAGGACGGGGACAACAGUUGGAAACGACUGCUAAUACCCGAUAUGCCGCGAGGUGAAACCUAAUUGGCCUGAAGAAGAGCUUGCGUCUGAUUAGCUAGUUGGUGGGGUAAGAGCCUACCAAGGCGACGAUCAGUAGCUGGUCUGAGAGGAUGAGCAGCCACACUGGGACUGAGACACGGCCCAGACUCCUACGGGAGGCAGCAGUGGGGAAUUUUCCGCAAUGGGCGAAAGCCUGACGGAGCAACGCCGCGUGAGGGAGGAAGGUCUUUGGAUUGUAAACCUCUUUUCUCAAGGAAGAAGUUCUGACGGUACUUGAGGAAUCAGCCUCGGCUAACUCCGUGCCAGCAGCCGCGGUAAUACGGGGGAGGCAAGCGUUAUCCGGAAUUAUUGGGCGUAAAGCGUCCGCAGGUGGUCAGCCAAGUCUGCCGUCAAAUCAGGUUGCUUAACGACCUAAAGGCGGUGGAAACUGGCAGACUAGAGAGCAGUAGGGGUAGCAGGAAUUCCCAGUGUAGCGGUGAAAUGCGUAGAGAUUGUGAAGAACAUCGGUGGCGAAAGCGUGCUACUGGGCUGUAUCUGACACUCAGGGACGAAAGCUAGGGGAGCGAAAGGGAUUAGAUACCCCUGUAGUCCUAGCCGUAAACGAUGGAUACUAGGCGUGGCUU